rnacentral:lncRNA from 1 species
GCUUCAUGGCCUCAUGUAUAGGAAGGCCCUGGGCUUGGCUAAACUCUCUGCUGUUACCAUCUUGAAACAUGUAAUAAUUUUUAACAAGGGGACCUGCAUUUUCAUUUUGCACCAAUUAUGUAGCCUAUCCUCCCUCUCAGGGAGGCCUCUUCACUGGAUCUUUCAUCUGAAUCAGCUUCGUGGUUUCCUUAUGCUAACCACAUAUUUGUUUUGUAUCCAGGCUGGCUGUAUUUGCAGAGGCUGAGCCCAGAGGAUGGCCAUGGAGAAUGCCUGGGCACUAGGAAUAGCACUAGGGUGGAGGCUUUGCCUGUGAGAAGGGAUGCUGGUGAGGAAACUGGGGCUUCAAGUUUAAGACGAAACCACCUGUGUGCUUCUGUAGCUGAUCCAG